GCGUUAUCCGGAAUCAUUGGGUUUAAAGGGUCCGUAGGCGGAUUUGUAAGUCAGUGGUGAAAUCUCCUCGCUCAACGGGGAAACGGCCAUUGAUACUGCAAGUCUUGAAUUAUUAGGAAGUAACUAGAAUAUGUAGUGUAGCGGUGAAAUGCUUAGAGAUUACAUGGAAUACCAAUUGCGAAGGCAGGUUACUACUAAUGGAUUGACGCUGAUGGACGAAAGCGUG
rnacentral:rRNA from 1 species